AAUGGAGUUAUGUUGGUCUCUUCCCUUCUUGUAAGUCAUUCGACUCUCUCUCUCUCUAUAUAUAUAUAUAUGUGUGUGUGUGUGUAUUUGAGAGCGUGUGUGUGAGAGAUCUCCUUGUCAAAAUGGGGUUCUUGAGAUUCUGUUUAUGUGUUUUGUUUCAAUGCAGUUCCUUAAUGGUGUGUUGACCAAAAGCAAAAAAGGAAAAAACUUUACAUGUAUAAUAAACAUUAAGCUCCAGUAUAGUGUAGUUUUCAUGGGUUUUGUUGCAAAUUUUCUUCUAAAAUAAAAAUAAAAAGACAAUCUUUUUGUGGUCUUAAAUCUUAGCCAUUUCAGUUGUUUAGCCUGGGACUGUUUAUUUGUCUCAUAAAUUAGUUUUCUUUGUGUACUUUUAUGCCUUUAAAUUCCAAUCUUAUACUAUGUAUAUGAGGCAUAAAAAUGCACUUACCUCUGUUAGUUUAUAUAAGUGUCCUCAAUUUUGCAAUGAAGGAUUGAACUAAAAAGAGAAGAUAUUUUGGUUUUAUCUGUAAACUUUGUGUGAAGAUUCUUUCUCUAAUGUUUAUUAUUCUAAUAUUCUCCAUGUCAUUGCACAUUUCUAUCUCUUUAUUUGUUUUUGUUGGAUACAAGUAAGUUGGCUGCUCGGGAUUGAGGUUUCUUAUGAAAUGAGACGUGGUUGAAGUAUAACAUCACUGUUGAUCUUUCAUAAAAGUAGGUGCAUUGAAUUUAUUCAUGCUGCUGUAUUGAGCAAUAGUAUUUUGUAAUAGCACAACCUGACAUAGGUCUUGUGAUACAUGGUCUUGUGAUACAUCUCUUACUUAGAGAGAAUGCACCAGAGUGAAAAUUCUAGCACAAUUAUUGAGAAGCUGCUUAAUUGAAUAACUUUUGUAUAGGCUGUUAAAAAUGGUCGAGAUCCAACACCAAGUGAGUUGCAUUUGCACGUCCAUACACAUAGUACUGAUGGAACAUCUUUUGUUGCUGAGAAAUCCCGAAUCGUACAUGAGAUAUUACAACAACAAACGCAAACUCAAUAUGAUAUUAAUCAGUGUAAAGCAUUUUAUCAAGCCGCGGGAGGAGAAAA